rnacentral:rRNA from 1 species
AUUGAACGCUGGCGGCAGGCCUAACACAUGCAAGUCGAGCGCGCGGCGGAGGGGUGAGUAAUGUAUGGGGAUCUGCCCGCUAGCGGGGGAUAACUACUGGAAACGCUGGCUCAUACCGCACACUAUCGGGUGAACCCAUACGGGAUUAGCUAGUAGGUGGGGUAAAGGCUCACCUCGGCGACGAUCUCUAGCUGGUCUGAGAGGAUGAUGAGCCACACUGGGACGGAGACACGGCCCAGACUCCCACGGUAGGCAGCAGUGGGGAAUAUUGCACAAUGGGCGCAAGCCUGAUGCAGCCAUGCCGCGUGUAUGAAGAAGGCCUUAGGGUUGUAAAGUACUUUCAGCGAGGAGGCGUUACCCGCAGAAGAAGCACCGGCUAACUCCGUGCCAGCAGCCGCGGUAAUUC